UACAGAGGUCUCAAGCGUUGUUCGGAUUCAUUGGGCGUAAAGGGUGUGUAGGUGGCGCCGUAAGUCAGGUGUGAAAUCUCGGGGCUUAACUCCGAAACUGCAUUUGAUACUGCGGUGCUUAAGGACUGGAGAGGAGACUGGAAUUUAUGGUGUAGCAGUGAAAUGCGUAGAUAUCAUAAGGAAGACCAGUGGCGAAGGCGGGUCUCUGGACAGUUCCUGACACUGAGACACGAAGGCCAGGGGAGCAAACGGG
rnacentral:rRNA from 1 species